UAUAGUGUAGCCGAGUGGCCUAUGGUGAUGGUUUUAGGCACCAGUCUCGUCGGAGUCAAGGGUUCGGAUCCCUUCGCUGUCA
rnacentral:tRNA from 1 species